CAAGUGCAUACUUGGCUGUCAAGGAGAUUUUAUAUUAGGCCACCCUGAUAAAAUAACACUGAACAGAAAUAGAAACAUGAACACAGCCGUGGGAGUGAAGGAAGAAUAAAGGAAGGACCCUCCUCACAGAAAGGCCACUGAAAGCAGGAAAGAGAGGGGCAAGCUGAAAUGGAAUUGUUAGAGCAUAAGGGAGCCAGCAUGCCUGCCUCAAGGUGAGAGGAGACUGGAGAACUAGGAGGGUACGCAGUUGGUGGGGACCUGCCUGGAAGACUACGAUCAAGAGCUUUCUACAGGUUAUGAGGAGCUGCUGAGGAACAAGGCACUUCAACGCUCCAGAUUAAAGAGAUCUACAGCG
rnacentral:lncRNA from 1 species